rnacentral:rRNA from 1 species
GAGCGGGGAGAUGUAGCUUGCUACAUUUCCUAGCGGCGGACGGGUGAGUAAUGCUUAGGAAUCUGCCUAUUAGUGGGGGACAACAUUCCGAAAGGAAUGCUAAUACCGCAUACGCCCUACGGGGGAAAGCAGGGGAUCUUCGGACCUUGCGCUAAUAGAUGAGCCUAAGUCAGAUUAGCUAGUUGGUGGGGUAAAGGCCUGCCAAGGCGACGAUCUGUAGCGGGUCUGAGAGGAUGAUCCGCCACACUGGGACUGAGACACGGCCCAGACUCCUACGGGAGGCAGCAGUGGGGAAUAUUGGACAAUGGGCGCAAGCCUGAUCCAGCCAUGCCGCGUGUGUGAAGAAGGCCUUUUGGUUGUAAAGCACUUUAAGCGAGGAGGAGGCUACUUAGAUUAAUACUCUAGGAUAGUGGACGUUACUCGCAGAAUAAGCACCGGCUAACUCUGUGCCAGCAGCCGCGGUAAUACAGAGGGUGCGAGCGUUAAUCGGAUUUACUGGGCGUAAAGCGUGCGUAGGCGGCUUCUUAAGUCGGAUGUGAAAUCCCUGAGCUUAACUUAGGAAUUGCAUUCGAUACUGGGAAGCUAGAGUAUGGGAGAGGAUGGUAGAAUUCCAGGUGUAGCGGUGAGAUGCGUAGAGAUCUGGAGGAAUACCGAUGGCGAAGGCAGCCAUCUGGCCUAAUACUGACGCUGAGGUACGAAAGCAUGGGGAGCAAACAGGAUUAGAUACCCUGGUAGUCCAUGCCGUAAACGAUGUCUACUAGCCGUUGGGGCCUUUGAGGCUUUAGUGGCGCAGCUAACGCGAUAAGUAGACCGCCUGGGGAGUACGGUC